rnacentral:rRNA from 1 species
AACCACUUAUGCAAUUCAUAAGCUGGAGGAAAAGAAACCAACCGGGAUUGCCUUAGUAACGGCGAGUGAAGCGGCAAAAGCUCAAAUUUGAAAUCUGGUACCUUCGGUGCCCGAGUUGUAAUUUGGAGAGGGCAACUUUGGGGCCGUUCCUUGUCUAUGUUCCUUGGAACAGGACGUCAUAGAGGGUGAGAAUCCCGUGUGGCGAGGAGUGCGGUUCUUUGUAAAGUGCCUUCGAAGAGUCGAGUUGUUUGGGAAUGCAGCUCUAAGUGGGUGGUAAAUUCCAUCUAAAGCUAAAUAUUGGCGAGAGACCGAUAGCGAACAAGUACAGUGAUGGAAAGAUGAAAAGAACUUUGAAAAGAGAGUGAAAAAGUACGUGAAAUUGUUGAAAGGGAAGGGCAUUUGAUCAGACAUGGUGUUUUGUGCCCUCUGCUCCUUGUGGGUAGGGGAAUCUCGCAUUUCACUGGGCCAGCAUCAGUUUUGGUGGCAGGAUAAAUCCAUAGGAAUGUAGCUUGCCUCGGUAAGUAUUAUAGCCUGUGGGAAUACUGCCAGCUGGGACUGAGGACUGCGACGUAAGUCAAGGAUGCUGGCAUAAUGGUUAUAUGCCGCCCGUCUUGAAACACGGACCAAGGAGUAG